ACUACGGGCGGCAGCAGUGAGGAAUAUUGGUCAAUGGCCGGAAGGCUGAACCAGCCAUGCCGCGUGAAGGUCAGUGCCCUAUGGGCGUUAAACUUCUUUUGUGCGGGAGCAAUAAUGGUCACGUGUGGCCAGACGAGAGUACCGUACGAAUAAGCAUCGGCUAACUCCGUGCCAGCAGCCGCGGUAAUACGGGGGAUGCAAGCGUUAUCCGGAUUUAGUGGGGUUAAAGGGUGCGUAGGCUGAGAGGUAAGUCAGCGGUGAAAUGCCCCCGCUCAACGGGGUGAAGGGCCAUUGAUACUGCCUUGCUGGAAUGCGGAUGCCGUGGGAGGAAUGUGUGGUGUAGCGGUGAAAUGCAUAGAUAUCACACAGAACACCGAUUGCGAAGGCAUCUCACGAAUCCGCGAUUGACGCUGAUGCACGAAAGCGUGGGUAUCAAACAGGAUUAGAUACCCCUGUAGUC
rnacentral:rRNA from 1 species